CUUCAAUUCUCAGCAUAGAAACCCUUAACUUGUAGACCUUUGCCGCAGCUGCUUCCACGGCUGCUCUGAAAUGAUACUGGUAAUAUGUUUUCUUUUCCUUCAUUUUUUUUUCUUUGGCCACACAAGAUAUGAUAGAAACCUUGCUAAAUAACUUGGUGUCAAGAAAUCUUGGGCCCUUCCCCAAGUCAGGGACAGAGCAGCCCUCUCUGGCAUGGACAAAGUUCAAUCCUUACAAUAAGCCUCUCAAGUGCAAUAAGGAAAUCGAACUUUGGAUGUCCACUGAUAGGAACUGUUUGAUCGGAAAAAUCUGAGUGCAUCACACUCUUCACUCUUCUAUUUCAAUUUCAUCCACAGUAACAGACAAAGUAUCCAUUUGUUCCAUUAGUAAAUUUAGCGCAUCCAAGGAUUGGAAUCCAUGAACACUGAGUCGG
rnacentral:misc_RNA from 1 species